AGGAUAAUAGUUAAUUAUAACGUUUAAUUUGCAUUUAAAAAUAAUUGGUCUAUACUGAUUUAUCUUA
rnacentral:tRNA from 1 species